rnacentral:lncRNA from 1 species
CUUAUUCUGCAAGUUUGAAGUUUCAACCUUCUCAUAUCAAAAGGUAUUUUUUCGCACUUUCUAUUCAAUUUACCUGUUAGAUCUGAAUUUUUUCCGUUUCUCCCACUAUCCAUUCAAUUGAACUGUUAGAUAUGAAUUUUUUCCGUUAACUAAUACUGAGUUUUUGGCUUUUUCAAUUGUUGUUGUUGAAUUGACAAAAGGUAUUUUUUCGCACUUUCUAUUCAAUUAACCUGUUAGAUCUGAACUUUUUCCGGUUUUCCCACUAUCCAUUCAAUUGAACUGUUAGAUCUGAAUUUUUUUCGUUAACUGAUACUUAGUUUUUGACUUUUUCAAUUGCAUUUGUUGAAUUGACAACAAAAGGUAUUUUUUCAAACAAACUAUUCAUAUCAAUCGAAAUUUUUGUAUGAAAUUUUUUAUCAAUCAACAUUCUCAUAUCAAAAGCUCUAUUUUUCUACUUUCUAUUCAAUUGACCUAUUAGAUCUGAAUUUUUUCCGUAAACUAAUACUGAGUUUUUAUCUUUUUCAAUUGCAGUUGAUGAUUACCAACAAAAGGUAUUGAAAGUUGUCAAGAAGGAGAAAUAAGCUUUUGAAAGUUGUCAAGAAGGAGAAGAUAUGAGGAAAUUAUGUUCCUGUUUUUUUAUGUGGAUUUCGUUUUGACCAUAUAUGGUCUAGAUUUAAUUUUCUUUGUUGACCUAUAACAUUAUCGUUGUUUUGAAGUCUGUUAGUCAUAUGUGGUCUAAACUCAAUAUCCGUUUUUUCUUGGUCUAAUUGUCUAUUUUGAUGCCUUUGCCUUGCAAUUAGCUCUUUCAAUAAAUUAUUCGGAUUAUG